rnacentral:rRNA from 1 species
AGAUGCCUACGGGAGGCAGCAGUGAGGAAUAUUGGUCAAUGGUCGGGAGACUGAACCAGCCAAGCCGCGUGAGGGAGGAAGGUACAGAGUAUCGUAAACCUCUUUUGUCAGGGAACAAAGACUGGGACGCGUCCCCGGAUGAGUGUACCUGAAGAAAAAGCAUCGGCUAACUCCGUGCCAGCAGCCGCGGUAAUACGGAGGAUGCGAGCGUUAUCCGGAUUUAUUGGGUUUAAAGGGUGCGCAGGCGGUCUGUUAAGUCAGCGGUCAAAGCCCGGGGCUCAACCCCGGCCCGCCGUUGAAACUGG